CGUAGGGUGCGAGCGUUAAUCGGAAUUACUGGGCGUAAAGCGUGCGCAGGCGGUUUUGUAAGACAGAUGUGAAAUCCCCGGGCUCAACCUGGGACCUGCAUUUGUGACUGCAAGGCUAGAGUACGGUAGAGGGGGAUGGAAUUCCGCGUGUAGCAGUGAAAUGCGUAGAUAUGCGGAGGAACACCGAUGGCGAAGGCAAUCCCCUGGACCUGUACUGACGCUCAUGCACGAAAGCGUGGGGAGCAAACAGGAUUAGAUACCCUGGUAGUCCACGCCCUAAACGAUGUCAACUGGUUGUUGGGUCUUUACUGACUCAGUAACGAAGCUAACGCGUGAAGUUGACCGCCUGGGAGUACGGCCGCAAGGUUG
rnacentral:rRNA from 1 species